rnacentral:rRNA from 1 species
UUCCGGUUGAUCCCGCCGGACCUGACUGCUAUCGGAUUGAUACUAAGCCAUGCGAGUCUUUGUAGUAAUACAAGGCAUACGGCUCAGUAACGCGUAGUCAACCUACCCUAUGGACAAGAAUAAUCUCGGGAAACUGAGCAUAAUUCUUGAUAGAUCAUAAUGCCUGGAAUGGUAUAUGGUUAAAAUGAUUCGUCGCCAUAGGAUGGGACUGCGGCCUAUCAGCUUGUUGGUGAGGUAAUGGCCCACCAAGGCGAUUACAGGUACGGGCUCUGAGAGGAGAAGCCCGGAGAUGGGUACUGAGACAAGGACCCAGGCCCUAUGGGGCGCAGCAGGCGAGAAAACUUUGCAAUGUGCGAAAGCACGACAAGGUUAGUCCGAGUGAUUUCUGCUAAAGAGAUCUUUUGCUAGUUAUAAAACCACUAGUGAAUAAGGGGUGGGCAAGUUCUGGUGUCAGCCGCCGCGGUAAAACCAGCACCUCAAGUGGUCAGGAUGAUUAUUGGGCCUAAAGCAUCCGUAGCCGGCUCUGUAAGUUUUCGGUUAAAUCCAUGCGCUCAACGUAUGGGCUGCCGAAAAUACUGCAGAGAUAGGGAGUGGGAGAGGUAGACGGUACUCGGUAGGAAGGGGUAAAAUCCUUUGAUCUAUCGAUGACCACCUGUGGCGAAGGCGGUCUACCAGAACACGUUCGACGGUGAGGGAUGAAAGCUGGGGGAGCAAACCGGAUUAGAUACCCGGGUAGUCCCAGCCGUAAACGAUGCAGACUCGAUGAUGCAUUGGCAUAUAGCCAGUGCAGUGUCGCAGGGAAGCCGUUAAGUCUGCCGCCUGGGAAGUACGUACGCAAGUAUGAAACUUAAAGGAAUUGGCGGGGGAGCACCACAAGGGGUGAAGCCUGCGGUUCAAUUGGAUUCAACGCCGGG